AUGGAGCUUGCACCCAUGGAGAAAAGCUCCCCAGACACUAAUGUCUGCUUGCAUUGGCAUCUUCUGUAUGAACUCCAAUGCCUCCUCCAGAUUUCCGGCACGGGCCAGCACAUCAACCAUACAUGCAUAAUGCUUCAUAGAAGGAGUGAUGUUGAAAUACUUUGCCAUGCUCUCGAAACACUUCUUUCCUACAGUAACCAUUCCAGUGUGGCUGCAAGUGGAAAGGACACUUGUGAAGACUACUUCAUUUGGUUGGAUAUUGUCCUUCAGCAUUUCAUUAAAAAGGUCAAUCGAGCCAGCAGAAUCGCCCUGCAUACCAUAGCCUCCAAUCAUAGCACCCCAAGUGACAGAAUUGCGGUCAUUCAUCUCACCGAACACCCUCUGAGCAGAUGGGAGAUCAGCACACUUGUUGUACAGGUUCAGCAGAGCAGUGUUGACGUAAAUGUUGGACAGAAAUGCGUAUUUGACAGCAAAAGUAUGGAAACAUUUACCGAUAAGUAG
rnacentral:rRNA from 1 species